rfam:Medicago truncatula strain A17 chromosome 6, whole genome shotgun sequence.
AUAUAAGCAAAUUUUACUUUUUAGGUUCAUUCAAUUAAUGAUGUAUGUGGUCUUAUGAACCACAUACAUCAUUAAUUGAAUGAACCUAAAAAGUAAAAUUUGCUUAUAU